CAACAGGAAGCAAGAAGAUGGUGGAGUAAUUCUUGCUUCAUCACUUAAGGAGACUCAGAUGGGUCUUUUUCCUGGAGAUUAGAAAUCUAGGUUGAAGAUAGUGUUUAGGCUGACUGUGGGGGAGUGCCUGGUGGCUGGCUCUGAGAUGUCACUGGGGAAUCCUCUCCUGCAUCUGUGGACUCCACUGUCUUGUCUAUAAAUUAAGGGGGUUGGAAACACUCCAGCCCUGACAUUCUAGGGCUCCUUGAUUUGAAGUCCCUUUAUACAACACCCUCCGCCCACCCUCCAUCCAUGGCCAACUGCAGAUUGGUAAUUUGUAAUGAUGAGAGAGGUAAAGUGAAGAGUCACCUUGAUUACCCAGAUCCAUCAUCUCCGUUCCUGGUCCGGUGGUUGAAAAAUCUGCUUCCUGGAGCUCAGAGCCCUGUCCCUGGGCUGCUCUCAUAGCAUUGCCAAGAGUCUUUUCCCAGAGCCCACUCUGCAAGGCUGAAGGGCUGAAUUCCAGAGGGAAGUCACACACACAGAGAGAGAGAGGCAGAGACACAGGCAGAGGGAGAAGCAGGCUCCAUGCACCAGGAGCCCAACGUGGGACUCCAUCCCAGGUCUCCAGGAUCGCGCCCUGGGCCAAAGGCAGGCGCCAAACCGCUGCGCCACCCAGGGAUCCCUUAAGAAUUCUUUAUAGAGGAAGGGUAUAAGCCUUCUUGUCUGUGGUGUAUGUCACAAAUAUUUGUCUCCCAUUUUGUCAGUUAUCUUUGACUUUGUUUAUAGUUCUUUGCCAUGUAUUUUUUAAUUGUACAUAGUCAAAUUCAUUGAUUUUUUUUCUUUUAUUGGCUCUGGACUUUGAGCUAUAAUUAGGAAGGCAUCCCUUAUAUCAAAGUUAAGAGGAAUUUGCCCACCAGUCUUCCAGUACUUGUAUGGUUUCAUUUUUGACAUCUGGAUCCCAAUCCAUUUGGAGUCUGUUUAUGUCUUUUAUGUGAACAAAAAAGGACAUUUUUUUUUCAAAUAACCUCCCAGUUUUCCCGGAAAUUCUUAUGAAAAAUCCAUCUUUAUACUAUCUUGACCCCAGUGAUUAGAGAUAACACUUUUGUCACAUAUUAAACUAUUCUUUUCAUCAAUGUUUUAUUUAUGAAUGGAUAAUAAAUUUUGUCAAAAGGUUUUUCAACAUCUAUGGAGAUAAUUACAUGAUUUGUUUCCUUAGGUCUAUUAAUACACUGUAUUAAUGAACAUCCUAUUAUUAAACCAACCUUACAUGCCUGGAAUAAA